GAUGAACGCUAGCGGCAGGCCUAAUACAUGCAAGUCGAACGAGAUUAAGAGGCUUGCUUCUUAUGAAAGUGGCGCACGGGUGCGUAACGCGUAUGCAACCUACCUUAAUCAGGGGGAUAGCCCGAAGAAAUUCGGAUUAAGACCGCAUAAAAACACAGGAUAGCAUUAUCCAAUGUUCAAAUAUUUAUAGUAUUAAGAUGGGCAUGCGUGUCAUUAGCUAGUUGGCGGGGUAACGGCCCACCAAGGCGACGAUGACUAGGGGAUCUGAGAGGAUGACCCCCCACACUGGUACUGAGACACGGACCAGACUCCUACGGGAGGCAGCAGUAAGGAAGAUUGGGCAAUGGAGGGAACUCUGAACCAGCCACGCCGCGUGAAAGAAGACAGCCCUCUGGGACGUCAACUGCUUUUAUUCGGGAAUAAACCUUUCUACGUGUAGGAAGCUGAAUGUACCGAAGGAAUAAGAAUCGGCUAACUCCGUG
rnacentral:rRNA from 1 species